GACGAACGCUGGCGGCGUGCUUAACACAUGCAAGUCGAACGAAGAGCGAUGGAAGCUUGCUUCUAUCAAUCUUAGUGGCGAACGGGUGAGUAACGCGUAAUCAACCUGCCCUUCAGAGGGGGACAACAGUUGGAAACGACUGCUAAUACCGCAUACGAUCUGACCUCGGCAUCGAGGAUAGAUGAAAGGUGGCCUCUAUUUAUAAGCUAUCACUGAAGGAGGGGAUUGCGUCUGAUUAGCUAGUUGGAGGGGUAACGGCCCACCAAGGCGAUGAUCAGUAGCCGGUCUGAGAGGAUGAACGGCCACAUUGGGAGUGAGACACGGCCCAGACUCCUACGGGAGGCAGCAGUGGGGAAUCUUCCGCAAUGGACGAAAGUCUGACGGAGCAACGCCGCGUGAGUGAUGACGGCCUUCGGGUUGUAAAGCUCUGUUAAUCGGGACGAAAGGCCUUCUUGCGAA
rnacentral:rRNA from 1 species